GUAGGUGGCAAGCGUUGUCCGGAAUUAUUGGGGCGUAAAGCGCGCGCAGGCGGUCCUUUAAGGUCUGAUGUGAAAGCCCACGGGCUCAACCGUGGAGGGUCAUUGGAAACUGGGGGACUUGAGUACAGAAGAGGAAAGCGGAAUUCCACGUGUAGCGGUGAAAUGCGUAGAGAUGUGGAGGAACACCAGUGGCGAAGGCGGCUUUCUGGUCUGUAACUGACGCUGAGGCGCGAAAGCGUGGGGAGCAAACAGGAUUAGAUACCCUGGUAGUCCGCGCCGUAAACGAUGAGUGCUAAGUGUUAGGGGGUUUCCGCCCCUUAGUGCUGCAGCUAACGCAUUAAGCACUCCGCCUGGGGAGUACGGCCGCAAAGGCUGA
rnacentral:rRNA from 1 species